rnacentral:rRNA from 1 species
GGGUUGUGAGGUUAAGCGACUAAGCGUACACGGUGGAUGCCCUGGCAGUCAGAGGCGAUGAAGGACGUGCUAAUCUGCGAUAAGCGUCGGUAAGGUGAUAUGAACCGUUAUAACCGGCGAUUUCCGAAUGGGGAAACCCAGUGUGUUUCGACACACUAUCAUUAACUGAAUCCAUAGGUUAAUGAGGCGAACCGGGGGAACUGAAACAUCUAAGUACCCCGAGGAAAAGAAAUCAACCGAGAUUCCCCCAGUAGCGGCGAGCGAACGGGGAGCAGCCCAGAGCCUGAAUCAGUGUGUGUGUUAGUGGAAGCGUCUGGAAAGGCGCGCGAUACAGGGUGACAGCCCCGUACACAAAAAUGCACAUGCUGUGAGCUCGAUGAGUAGGGCGGGACACGUGGUAUCCUGUCUGAAUAUGGGGGGACCAUCCUCCAAGGCUAAAUACUCCUGACUGACCGAUAGUGAACCAGUACCGUGAGGGAAAGGCGAAAAGAACCCCGGCGAGGGGAGUGAAAAAGAACCUGAAACCGUGUACGUACAAGCAGUGGGAGCACGCUUCGGCGUGUGACUGCGUACCUUUUGUAUAAUGGGUCAGCGACUUAUAUUCUGUAGCAAGGUUAACCGAAUAGGGGAGCCGAAGGGAAACCGAGUCUUAACUGGGCGUUAAGUUGCAGGGUAUAGACCCGAAACCCGGUGAUCUAGCCAUGGGCAGGUUGAAGGUUGGGUAACACUAACUGGAGGACCGAACCGACUAAUGUUGAAAAAUUAGCGGAUGACUUGUGGCUGGGGGUGAAAGGCCAAUCAAACCGGGAGAUAGCUGGUUCUCCCCGAAAGCUAUUUAGGUAGCGCCUCGUGAAUUCAUCUCCGGGGGUAGAGCACUGUUUCGGCAAGGGGGUCAUCCCGACUUACCAACCCGAUGCAAACUGCGAAUACCGGAGAAUGUUAUCACGGGAGACACACGGCGGGUGCUAACGUCCGUCGUGAAGAGGGAAACAACCCAGACCGCCAGCUAAGGUCCCAAAGUCAUGGUUAAGUGGGAAACGAUGUGGGAAGGCCCAGACAGCCAGGAUGUUGGCUUAGAAGCAGCCAUCAUUUAAAGAAAGCGUAAUAGCUCACUGGUCGAGUCGGCCUGCGCGGAAGAUGUAACGGGGCUAAACCAUGCACCGAAGCUGCGGCAGCGACACUAUGUGUUGUUGGGUAGGGGAGCGUUCUGUAAGCCUGCGAAGGUGUACUGUGAGGUAUGCUGGAGGUAUCAGAAGUGCGAAUGCUGACAUAAGUAACGAUAAAGCGGGUGAAAAGCCCGCUCGCCGGAAGACCAAGGGUUCCUGUCCAACGUUAAUCGGGGCAGGGUGAGUCGACCCCUAAGGCGAGGCCGAAAGGCGUAGUCGAUGGGAAACAGGUUAAUAUUCCUGUACUUGGUGUUACUGCGAAGGGGGGACGGAGAAGGCUAUGUUGGCCGGGCGACGGUUGUCCCGGUUUAAGCGUGUAGGCUGGUUUUCCAGGCAAAUCCGGAAAAUCAAGGCUGAGGCGUGAUGACGAGGCACUACGGUGCUGAAGCAACAAAUGCCCUGCUUCCAGGAAAAGCCUCUAAGCAUCAGGUAACAUUAAAUCGUACCCCAAACCGACACAGGUGGUCAGGUAGAGAAUACCAAGGCGCUUGAGAGAACUCGGGUGAAGGAACUAGGCAAAAUGGUGCCGUAACUUCGGGAGAAGGCACGCUGAUAUGUAGGUGAAGUCCCUCGCGGAUGGAGCUGAAAUCAGUCGAAGAUACCAGCUGGCUGCAACUGUUUAUUAAAAACACAGCACUGUGCAAACACGAAAGUGGACGUAUACGGUGUGACGCCUGCCCGGUGCCGGAAGGUUAAUUGAUGGGGUUAGCGGUAACGCGAAGCUCUUGAUCGAAGCCCCGGUAAACGGCGGCCGUAACUAUAACGGUCCUAAGGUAGCGAAAUUCCUUGUCGGGUAAGUUCCGACCUGCACGAAUGGCGUAAUGAUGGCCAGGCUGUCUCCACCCGAGACUCAGUGAAAUUGAACUCGCUGUGAAGAUGCAGUGUACCCGCGGCAAGACGGAAAGACCCCGUGAACCUUUACUAUAGCUUGACACUGAACAUUGAGCCUUGAUGUGUAGGAUAGGUGGGAGGCUUUGAAGUGUGGACGCCAGUCUGCAUGGAGCCGACCUUGAAAUACCACCCUUUAAUGUUUGAUGUUCUAACGUUGGCCCCUGAUCGGGGUUGCGGACAGUGUCUGGUGGGUAGUUUGACUGGGGCGGUCUCCUCCUAAAGAGUAACGGAGGAGCACGAAGGUUGGCUAAUCCUGGUCGGACAUCAGGAGGUUAGUGCAAUGGCAUAAGCCAGCUUGACUGCGAGCGUGACGGCGCGAGCAGGUGCGAAAGCAGGUCAUAGUGAUCCGGUGGUUCUGAAUGGAAGGGCCAUCGCUCAACGGAUAAAAGGUACUCCGGGGAUAACAGGCUGAUACCGCCCAAGAGUUCAUAUCGACGGCGGUGUUUGGCACCUCGAUGUCGGCUCAUCACAUCCUGGGGCUGAAGUAGGUCCCAAGGGUAUGGCUGUUCGCCAUUUAAAGUGGUACGCGAGCUGGGUUUAGAACGUCGUGAGACAGUUCGGUCCCUAUCUGCCGUGGGCGCUGGAGAACUGAGGGGGGCUGCUCCUAGUACGAGAGGACCGGAGUGGACGCAUCACUGGUGUUCGGGUUGUCAUGCCAAUGGCACUGCCCGGUAGCUAAAUGCGGAAGAGAUAAGUGCUGAAAGCAUCUAAGCACGAAACUUGCCCCGAGAUGAGUUCUCCCUGACUCCCUGAGAGUCCUGAAGGAACGUUGAAGACGACGACGUUGAUAGGCCGGGUGUGUAAGCGCAGCGAUGCGUUGAGCUAACCGGUACUAAUGAACCGUGAGGCUUAACCUUACAACGCCGAAG